UACGGAGGAUGCGAGCGUUAUCCGGAUUUAUUGGGUUUAAAGGGUGCGUAGGCGGAUCGUUAAGUCAGUGGUCAAAUUGAGGGGCUCAACCCCUUCCCGCCAUUGAAACUGGCGAUCUUGAGUGGAAGAGAAGUAUGCGGAAUGCGUGGUGUAGCGGUGAAAUGCAUAGAUAUCACGCAGAACCCCGAUUGCGAAGGCAGUAUGCCGGCUUCCUACUGACGCUGAAGCACGAAAGCGUGGGGAUCGAACAGG
rnacentral:rRNA from 1 species